CAGGCUCUGGCGGGGAUAGAACCCUGAAGGGCCUGCGCCAGCUCCAACUUAGGGCCCUGUGCGUCGUUGCGACUUCUGCUACCACCCUAUCACGCGGCACCCCCGCCCCAACUCCGCCCGGGUCUCUGAAGAGGCAAUAGGCCUUUCAUCUCCGGGGAAAGUCUCACCUUGGCCCUCAGACACCCGCCAAGAGGGGUCGGAAGGACAGAAUUAGCAUAGAGAAGAGUGGCUAGAGCACUUUUCAGGCUCUGGCCCCAGGAAUCCUUGACAGGAAGCGUGGGGUUGCUGCCCAGCCUCCCACGCAGUGUAAUAUGUUGAAGCCGGGCCCCUUUGAGGGAAUGCGACUUCCUUGGGCCGAGGGGGAAAGGGCAGUGCCUGAUGGCUGAGAAGAAUCGCAGAGGACUAGAAAAGGUUUGAGUCUGAAAUUAUCUGGCACAGAGGAUUAAAGCUCAGAAAUAAGUGAUUGCGAAACAGUUCAACUUCCCUGUUAAUGACAACAACAACAGCAACACGCUUAUUAAUUCCUAGCUGGAGCAUCAAGCUUAUGAAGAUUUCCAAGACUUUAUUGUUGACCCUUGUUGAAGAGAACUCUACUUGGCUUCUUUCCUGGCUUUCCUAAAUUGUUCACAUACAAGAUAAACUACCGUCAUUCAGACUUACAGAAGUGAGAAGACAAGCUGAACCAAAUGUAAAAUGGUAGCAAUUUACAGAUGUCAGAACUAACAUGUGGAUGAACUUAGAGAUGGAGAAGAAAGCUGGGCUUUUCCAAAGAGUGGAUCUAUCUGAACUGGAUAGCACUAUUGAACUUUGUUGCAUAUUUUGUGGUAGCUCUAAAACUCCUCUGCUUGCUUACAUACAACCAGACACCAGUGCCUUCUGAAGCUAAUCCAGGCCAUUUUUAUAACCUAAUGCAGUAGCACUUUGCAAUUAGAUGAAGAAGAUCGGUGGGAUUUCUUUCUGUGGUGAUUAAAAUGUGUCAGGGGAAGAAAUCAAGACAAUACUCCAAGUGAAAAAUAUAAAGUCAGUUAUUUCUUUAAUAUUUUG
rnacentral:lncRNA from 1 species